rnacentral:rRNA from 1 species
CAGUUAGUUGGCGGGGUAAAGGCCCACCAAGACGAUGAUCAGUAGGGGAACUGAGAGGUUGAUCCCCCACACUGGCACUGAGAUACGGGCCAGACUCCUACGGGAGGCAGCAGUAGGGAAUAUUGGUCAAUGGAUGGAAGUCUGAACCAGCCAUGCCGCGUGCAGGAAGAAGGCCUUCUGGGUUGUAAACUGCUUUUGUCAGGGGAUAAAAAUUCCAUGCGUGGAAGAUUGAAGGUACCUGGCGAAUAAGCCACGGCUAACUACGUGCCAGCAGCCGCGGUAAUACGUAGGUGGCAAGCGUUGUCCGGAUUUAUUGGGUUUAAAGGGUGCGUAGGCGGCUUUGUAAGUCAGUGGUGAAAUAUGGCAGCUCAACUGUCAGUGUGCCAUUGAUACUGCAGAGCUUGAGUACAGAUGAGGUAGGCGGAAUUGACGGUGUAGCGGUGAAAUGCUUAGAUAUCGUCAAGAACACCUAUAGCGAAGGCAGCUUACUAGGCUGUAACUGACGCUGAGGCACGAAAAUGUGGGGAUCAAACAGGAUUAG